GUGCUCACUUUGGCAGCAAAUAUACUAAUAUUGAAACCACACAUAGAUUAUCAUGGCCUCAGCACAAGGAUGACAUGCAAAUUCGUGAAUCCUUCCAGAUUUUU
rnacentral:snRNA from 1 species